rnacentral:rRNA from 1 species
CGGGACGGGUGAGUAAUGUCUGGGAAACUGCCCGAUGGAGGGGGGUAACUACUGGAAACGGUAGCUAAUACCGCAUAACGUCUUCGGACCAAAGUGGGGGGACUUCGGGCCUCACGCCAUCGGAUGUGCCCAGAUGGGAUUAGCUAGUAGGUGGGGUAAUGGCUCACCUAGGCGACGAUCCCUAGCUGGUCUGAGAGGAUGACCAGCCACACUGGAACUGAGACACGGUCCAG